GGAGAGAUGUUCAAUUCCCAGCACCCACAUGGCAGUGCACAGCUGUAACUCCUGUUCCAGAGGAUCUAAUGUCCUCACACAGACAUAUAUACAGAGGCAAAACACCCAUGCACAUAAAAGAGAAAACAAAAACAAAACAAAAACCCCACAGAGACUUAACCAAAGCUACUCACUUUAGACAUAGAAAAGGUCUGUUUUCUUUUUCACAAACUGUCCUUCUUGUCCCAGUGAGCUACCCUAAGUGUACACUUCAUUGCCCCCAAGAAAGUCCACAUUUCAGAGUGCAUGACUGAACACAGCUCAUGACUAUGAAUGUGAAGUCAUCCUUGCCCCAUCUCCACAUGCUUGGAGUUAUUUGUCUUUCCUCUGGUUAACAUACUCCAGAGGAAUUAGCUCAGAGUGAACCUUCCAGACUUGGAACAGUGCUGAUGUGAUCAAUCCCCAGAGAGGCCCAGCUAGCUCUGCAUAGGGAACCCCGGUAGAGGUAGGAGGUUUGCUGCUCUCCAGUACCUGUGGCAUUUAAAGCAAGGAGGGACCACCUGGGGCUCUCAGCUUCCUGUUUCAGCCAGACCUAACCCUCUGAAAAGAGAGGAGGGUGCACUGUGCAGUUGUGAUUAUGUGCUGGAAUUAACACUGGAGAUUUCAGGACAUGCUUAAGGGUUCUCAGAACUAUACUCCAAACUUGUCUUGGGAUCCCGAAAGAAGUCCAUGGUGGAUCAAGAGAACAGGAGAAAGAAUGGGAGAGAAAGAGGGUGCAAGAGGGAAGGAGGAGGCCCUAGGGGCUACAGCUGCCUUUCCAGUCCUUGCAGAAGAAAGCUGACAGUGUAGCAGCCUGUACAGGGAAGGCUAAGGAAGGAUCUAUAGACUGAUGUGAUCGUGGGCAGAGAAAGUACAGGUGAAAAAAGAAAAAUAGCUACUAUGUCUCUUCUAGCUGAAGAAACUAAGGCUCAGAGAGAAUAAGUGACUUAACCAAGGUCCUCUUCCUUCAUUUAGCAAGUGCUUACUAACCACUUUCAGUGUGAUUCACAGUGUGCUGUGAGGGGUAGUGCAGCCAUUUGAGCCCAGUGAUGUCUCAGUGGGAACUUUACAGUCAGGCUCUUUGGCCUUUUUGGUUCCCUGCCUCUCCUUGGUAGCAAGCAUUGCCUGUCAAAUCUACUCACCUUUUCUGUGUGCUUUAUCCAACAGCCCCGCCCCCAGUAAGCCCCUCUUACCCCCUCACUGCACACUCUGCUCCUUCCAUGUCGCUGAUCCAAAGCACCAAAUCCCUGGAAACAAGAGGAAAACGGCCAUGAGCUACUCCUAAAGUUCUGGCCCCCAAGCCAUGCCUUUGAGUGCUCCAUCAGCUCCCACUCAACUGAAAUCUGGACCUUUGAACUCCUCCGUUCUGAGCUAAGAGGAGGACAGGGUAACAAGGGGUAGCUCCUGCCACCUCCAGUGUGCUAUGGCCACCAGCUCCAGCCUGCUGUUUACAGUUCCACAGCCCCAUGCUGAGACCCUUUGCACAUCUGCUGCUAAUAUUCUUGAGAGAACUAUUGUGUGGGGGAUGGGGAAAGAAGCAUCCACCCCGCCCCACCCCGACUGCAGCCUGGAGUCUGAAGGUACUAUGGGUUGGCAGUGGGGCUCAGACUUCAAGGGCUGCUGGAGCCUUAAGCUUACAGCAGUUCUGUUGAAGAGACACUACCCCAAAGAACUGAGGCUUAACCCCCCCCUCUUACUGAGAAGCAUUUGAAAAGGGGUUAGAAAGCAGGGUUGACCCCAAGGACAAACCGACCAUUUGGUUUCCGGUUUCUUGGAAGGACUUUGGAGCAGGACUGUGGUGGAAAUCCCAAACUAGUUUGCUUGGCUUUAAGUAAAGAUCUCUGUGCUGUGUCUCCCUUAUCUCCCCUUCCUGCUCUCUGCCCUCUCCGCAUCCCUCCCCCACCCCCAGCAGACUCCAGGAGCCGGCCACCUGCUUGCACUUUCCCACUGAUCAGACUAGUAGCUUUGCUUCACUAAAAGCAGAAGGAAUGGAAAGGUUUAUUGUGGCUACUGUUGCCAAAUGAGUUACAAAAGUGGCAUGCUUCAAUUUUUACAAAUUCUAAAAAAAAAAAAAAAAAAAAAAAAAAAAAAAAAAUUGAGGGCUAUUCCCCAAAAGUUAUAAUAAAUUAGCAGCUUAAAUGUAAUAUACCAUGAGGUGAAGGCCAUUGACAGAUCACUUAUGAAAACCAGAAUGUUCUACUAAAACCAUGAGGUAAAAAGGAACUGCAAGUGUACCACACAUUCACUGUGUUCAGAACUUCACAUAAACUGUCUCAUGUAUGUCCUUAUGCAGUAGGAGACUGGUAACCACGGGCACAGUCCACCAUACUUACAGCCACAUAAAGCCAAGUAGUGAACUGCAGACUUGAAUCCAGGCCUGGUAGCUAGCCUCCACUCCACAUGGUAGCACUGACUUGCCUGUGCCUACUAGUCAUCUCUCCCCUGUUUUUACCUCAUCAUUCUUUGUAAUCCAUUCCUACUCUUCAUAGGCGCCCCAAAAUGCAUUCUGAAUCAGUUACAUUUUAAGAGGUAUGGUCCUGUCUUCUCGUUAAAUAUCAACUCAAUCAAGUUGUUUUUGAACCUCCAAUGUGUUUGGUGUCAGGAGCACUAAGUGGCUGAAAACAUGACCUCUGCCUCUAGGGACUAAUUGAAGUUAGCCUCCAUGGAUGGCUGGGGAUAUCACAGGGGCUGACACUGCAUAGAAGCAGCUGAGGGUAAAGCGUGAGGGAGAUUACUUUCUGAUGGCUGGAGGAUCUGAAUAGAGCAGAGGACAGAUGUGACGGUCAGCAAGGGACUCUCAGAAGCAUGAGGACAAAGCUGGCUGACUGAAC
rnacentral:lncRNA from 1 species